AUGUUUCAGGUGAUCUGUGUGAUCCAGGAAAAGUGCAGUAAAGCACUAUCAAGCUCAGAGAAGUGGCUCAGUGAACCCCAGCUACAAGGAUGAAGAAGGUGGCGAGUAAUGUAGUGAAGAAACGAGUCUUUGAAUUGUUUGCACCUUUCAAUGGCAUAUGUAGUCUGCUGCUGCUUUAGCUGUUGAAUUAUGCAUAUGGAGUGUAGUUGCUGAUUUUUACAGAAGGUCGUCUGAGCCGUACAAUGAAUGUGGUAGGUCACAACCUACAUCUGAUGCGCUUUCAAAAGGGAAAGAAAAAGGCGACGAAUGAACGCCUAGAUAUGGCUGGUGUAAAGGACAUGUAAAAUUGAUAUUGUUGGAAGAUCCUGCUAGCAAAGAGAGAAAUCUUAUUGGCAAUAAAUAAGAAUGCUAAUGUACAAGCGUUUAAUGUAGUUAUGAAAGUGAGAAUCGAAGUGGGUAAAAAUCAAUGUAUUCAAGUUUGUUUGACAAGGGCAACAUUCGAUUCAGGAGUUGGGAGCCUAAGGAUGACUGGCAGAAGGAGAAAAUGGACUUUAUUCAAGGCGUGAGCCGCAUUUCGACAUUACCAAGGACCAAUGUAAAAGAGUCAAGCAAGCUUUAGAGCUAGAAGUUUAGGAUAAGUGUAAAUAUCUAGCUCUCAUGUUUUAAUAGGUUCGUCUAGCAUGGAGCUUAUGCAAGUAGCUGAUAAGGCAACCAUAGAUAAAAGGUUGAAGCUUAUGUUGAGGUUUUUAGGACUCUCAAUGAUGCUAGACAACAUGUUAGACAAAGAUGUUGAUUGAGUAUAUCAAGCCCUUACUUGAUUUUUGUGAUCAAGUGUUAUU
rnacentral:lncRNA from 1 species